CAGAAAACAAACAUAACAAAGCAGUUGAUCAUCAAGGAUGAACACUGGUUGUUCUCCCUCCCCCUUUCUGUGUAUUCAUAACACCCAGAUAGUACAGCACCACCCAAAUAAAUUCUGGCCAGGGUCAUCAUUCAGUUAUACGUUUUAUUCUCUAAUAGGUACAAUACUAAAAUAAACACAAAUUAAAAAAAAGUUUUAUUAAAACAAAACUGUACAAAAAAGCAGUAUAUACUACAUUUUAAUUACAGAACAGUCUACUGUCCAAAAGGCACUAAUCCAGAAUAGGAGAUACAAUGAUACAGGACUCAUUGGAACUAUUUUAAUCAAUACAAUAGAGCACUUGUUUCCUUGUUCAUUCACAUCUAGAAACAAGGGCUUUUGCUACAGUCAUUACACAUUGUUAUAAAUAUGAGUCCUACAGGUGAAGGUGCAGUAUCACUCUCCCUAGAGCAGAUUAACGCUUACAGGGGUCACUGGGGAGUUUUUUGGUGUGGAUGGAAUUGAGGAGUGGGAUUAUUAGCCUGGCCCCUUUUCUCUGGGGUGGGAGUAUCCGGGCCCAGAGUGGCAGGACACUUUCAUGCUUUCAAAUGAAGGCUGGGAGGGGCUUUUGGUGGCAUCUGCCUUUGCUCUGAACCUGGACUUUUGGAUUUCUCUGGUAGUUCUUCCUGCCAUUUCAACUACCUCAUGUACUUUAGUGUGGGAAACUUUUGGUGCCUUUCUCUACUCCCCAGAUUUCAAGAGAUUUGCAGCACGGUUUUUUAGGAUGACUAAUAUCACCUGCUCAGCCUGAGUUGUCUUUUUGGUAUCCAGAUAGGAAAAGGAAGUGAAAUUCUGCAAAGAAAACUGUGGUCCCUUAGCAGACCAGGGUGCCCAAGCAAGGGGCCUGGGGCACCUUCUUUUGGCGGCUGACCUGCUGCUGCCGAUCCAGAGCAUGGGUGAUGUCCUAUCUCCCGUGCCUGGCGGGUGCCCCAGCCCACAUGAGUUGCAAAGGCUCAUGACCCUUUUGUUCUCUUGGGGUCGGUAUGACAGACUCCUGCUUCAGAGGCGUUUUGAGGUGCUGCUUAUUCUAGGUCAAGUUUGUCCAUAGCCAAUCACAAAGCGGCUGGGACUAGUUGGUUGGGUCCUCAUUCUAGUUCUGCAAUGAGGAAUUAUACAUUACAUAAGCAACUUUUGUUCAACAAAUGGACCUUCCAGAAACUGAGCUUGGUCAAAGGGGGCCACUGACUUCGUUUUUGUGACCUCAGUAACUCUCUAAACCCCAAGUUUCAUUCUGUAAAGGCCUCUGGCCCUAAGGAGGAGAGAUACUGCAGCUUUCAAAACAGUGUCAUACACAUAGAAGACGAAGACAGGCAUCUGGAUGUUAACAAAAAUAAGUAACAAAGAAAUAUGAUUAAACCAAAUCUCUUCUCACAUCAUCCUAUACUACAUCCUCCUUCUGCUUAGCAGAAAAUUGUACGUACACAAAAAUACAAAUACACAAUUUUGUAGAACAGUCUGAUUUUAAUAUAUUUAUAUAUAUUUAUAUUUAUAUGAGUGGCAGGUUAGUUCAUUAUAUAGAGCUUUUUGCACUUUUGGCUCAUAUGCAACAAGGCUUAUAAAUUCAGCUUUAGCUUUCAUUCAGGUUUUAUAGCUUUUGAACAAUUGUUUUCACAUUUAAAGCAGCAUCCAAUUUGCAAUAGGAGUUUGUGGUGGUUAUAGGAAAGAUCAGGUCAAGAGGUUAUUUAAGGGAAAGGGGGAGAUACCAGGGUAGGGAAGAUAUACAUUCCAGUGUGUGUGGUAAUGUAAAAAGGAUUGUAUGUGUGGACUAGAGCAUACCAUGUUGACCCCUUGAGGUAGACUGAACACCUUACAGCAGACUCAGACACAGGUGUGAUUUGCCCUCAGGGACACAUGGUGUACAAGAUAUGGAGAACAAAGACUAGGAGACUCCCAAAUGGAAACACAAAGACAGAAAACACACAAAUGGCCAAGGCAGGGGGAAGGAGGGAAUUUUUUCCCCCUCGACCCUUCUGGCAAUGACCCAACACAGGUCAUCCUAGACUGUUUUGGUGAAUGCAAAAUACUUUCAGGCAAUCGAUCCUCAGUCAUUGGGCCUACGGUGUCUCAUCUGAUUACAAUCAUUACAUUGGCUUUCCAUUUUCUAAUUUGCUGUGCCAGCUAGUUCCUACCCCUACUAUGAGACAUUAAAACAAAGCCGCACAUCUUUCUGCAACGAAAAUUCCCUUCCCCCUCUGCUCUUUACGGAGUGUCCAAGUCCAGUUAAGUGAUUUUCCUUCUUCUAAUGGCAUUUCCUUGUCAUUUCUCCCUUAUUCCCCACAUUCCCACUAAUGUCCAGGUCUUGUCAGUUACAACCGUCAGUUACAACUGACAAGCCACUUAGUAAAACCGAUAAGAAUAGCACCUGGAGACCGGACGACAAGGCCCUGACAAGUCAUCCUGGCUGGCUUCAGGGGCCCAAGGAUGGCCUUGUCUUUCUUAUCACAAUGCUAUUUCUCCUCUUUCAUCAUUUCUUUAGCAGCCUGCCAGGUGACCUUCCAUCCAAAGCAGAAAUUCCCCCUGCCAUAUUGCCUUUAUUUAUCAACUUGGUGGUGUCCUAUGUUUGUAAGUGAUCGCACUGUCAAAGCAGAAAUGCUAAGUAAUGAAAAUUGGUGCCUGGACAACAGUCAUUGCUUUAAAAAACAAACACAAAUUUUUAAAGGAUUUGAAUCAAGUGCAAUCACAAAAAAUACCUGUCAUGUUCACCAUGUGAUAAAGGCCCCUUUACUUAAAUCAAAUUUAAAAUAUCUUUUUAGACACUUUACACACACCUUUUGAAGAUGUGAUUUUGAUGUGAAGACCCUGCCAAUGGCUGUAUUUUGAGGACCACGAUCCAUAGAACCUUGACACUGGAAGAACCUCCAAGAGCACUCAGCCCAACCAGUACCUGAACAGGAAUCCCCUCUACAAUAUUCCCACCAAAUGGUUGUCUAGACUCAGCUUUGAGGACUCAUUACCUCCUGAGCUAGCUUAUCCUACUUUUGGAUAACUCCAGUUGUUGGCAAGUUUUUUCUUACAUGGAGCCAAACUCUGACUCUCUUCUUCAAAUCUAGAUAGAGAGGAUGAAACAAGACAGUGAAGAUUCUAGUAGCUAACAAUUAUAAAUGAAUCAUGUUUAAUCAUCACAGUUACAUGGAAAUUUAUCCUCUUAGAUUAGCGCUGUUCUGACUGCUGUCAAAAGAUAGAGACUCCACUCUGCUCUGGAGACGGUAUGAAUCUACCUGAUUGGAGGGCUAUUGGGAUUUAAAUGAGCAAUACAAGACUCCUUAAAAGUUCUCAAUGAAUCAAGACCAUGACCACAUGAAUGAAAGAAACAGCCAAACAACGACAAACAAAGCCAGCAUCAAGAAGCAAUGAAGUUUUUUCUCCUGCUGGCUAGACCUUGAAGUUGUUCUGCCCGCAGAACGCCAGUGACAUUGGGUGGAGAGGUACUUUCCCUCCACCUGCCCAGGAGGGCUGUGCAUGGGCCAGGGAAGGAGAAAGGGCCAAGGGGGAGAGGGGAGAGUCAGGCCUGAUUCUCUGGUGGGCUCCAGAGUUAUGUCACUUGCUUAGGCACUUAAAAAAAAACCCAACAACAAAUAAAAAAUAUAUCCUUUAAAGGUACUGAACACUGAUCUUGGUUAUGAUCAUGGAAAGGACAGGGAGCCCAUGGGGAAUUAGACAAGGCUAUGGGCUCUUCCAGGGGAGACAACUAUGAUGUCCUUGGCAUCUUUCAAUGAAGGCAUAUUUCCAACUCCAAUGGCUUUCUUGCAUGCCUCAGAGACCCAGAAGAGAAAAAUACUCUAUUGACUCAGGUGAUAGGUCCAGAACUCUUUCAUAAUUGAUGAUUCUCACUGGGUCUUUUUUUAGGUAGCUUACUUCUAGCCAUAAUGGGAACUGCAUUAAGAAGCAGGAUGGGCUCAAGAGUGGAAUUAGGAACGAUCCAAUCUGGAACACUAGAAGAAUCAUUCAUGAGAAUCAGGGGUGUAAAAUGGGAUAACAUGGGGCAUCAUUAGCAAAGAAAAUGACCUUUCAUGCAAUCCAGUAAAAGUAAAUAUGGUGCUGAAGUAAAGUCAUGAGAAAGUUCCCACAUUUUGAAAAUACAACUCUCCUGAAAGAAAAUUAUUUUUGGUACACUAAUGUGCAUUACUAGUAGCACAAAGAAGCAAUACAUGAGUUUGCUGAUACUAGCACACUAAAAUCCAGGUUUCCUGACCAAAUGGUGCUGCUUAUUUGGAAGUACAAAAAGCAGUAUGCUGUCUAUCUCUUUCUUGUGCGCGCACAUGCACGUGCGCGCACACACACACACACACACACACACACACACACGUUCUCCUCCCAUCCCCACUUAAUCUGGUAUAUGAACAAAAAAGUUCAAUGUAAUGUCAAACAGCUAUUGUUUACAUGAAUAAAGCAUUGGUCUAGUCUUGUUGUUCGGGCUAAUAGCAUAAGUGAUGAUAAAGUGGAAAAAUGGCCCUCCCUAGUUCCUAGUGGGCUCUAGAUCCUCAAAGAAAAAGUAAAGUGUUUUAGUGAUUCAAGGAAGUCACAAGAUCACUACAAUUUAUGAUAUGACCUGGAGAGAGCUGAUUGGGAAUUGAAGCAGUUAUAAAGCAAAAAAUUAAAUGGGCUGGGGUUGUCAUCUCUUUUAAAUGUCUUUUUAUGGAAUCCAUUUGUAACUUCUUGAUGAAGGUGUGUAAAUGGAAGAAAGGAGAGAAUUUCUCUCUCUUGAAAUUCCUUGCUACCUUAGACUGUUCAAGGAAUGGGGCUCUAUGUAGAAAAUGAAAGAGGAUUUAUUUUCAUUAUUUGUAGUUUGGGUUUUUUAGUGAGAAAACUGUCCAAAUACCACUAAUGGUAAGAAUGAUCUAUUAAGUGUUUUGGGACAUCUCUACACCUGUCCCUCUACUUAGCACUGGAUCCAGUCAGGAACUAUUCCCAACACUGCAAACAGUUAGUUGACGGUUUCCAUCAGUCAACGCAAAAGCUCCUCAAAGGGUAUUCAAUUUCUUGGAAUUCAAAAAAGGAAUUAAGAUUUAACUGACUUGGAGAGAAAGACAGUUAAAAGGAUCACAAACUAGCUAGCUAAAAACUAAGUACUUAUGUUCCUGAGAGGGAAGGAAAUCCAUCAGGGAGAAGGGAGAUGGCAAGAAAUAUUCAUGUACCAUCACAAAAUUAGAUAAUUCAUAAUUAAGACUUAGAGGUAAAUUAGUACAACCUUUGAACUAGUAUGUAAAUCCUUCUAAAACUUCCCUGAUAGAUGAUCAAGUCACACCUGAACAUGUCAAAUGACACUUCUAAGUCAUCUCAUUCUAAUAUUGCUCUAAUUGUUCAAUAGUUUUUUUUUUAUUAUUAUGUUGAGCAAGAAUUACUUUACUGUGACUUUUUACUCACUAACCUACAAGAAUGAGAAUAAAAAGGUAUGUGUAAUACAAACAAGGGUACAUAUAAUACAAAUAAAAGGUAAGCAAGUUUAAGGAAACUUUUAGUGAGAAAGGAAUAAAUAAUUUUACUUACUAGCUCUAACUAGGAAGAACCAAGAAUCAAAAUUUUAUGUUUGGGACUAAAAAUCAUUAGAAUGUCAAUGGAAGCCAGUUGCUACAAAGAAUGUUGAUCUGUUCAUUCUUCAUGAUUUUAUAUUUUAAAAAAAAUCUUCUUGGGAUAUAAUGCCAGUUUUUGCCCUAAUUCUGAUAUCUUGGGGAGUGGGGAAAGGAAUGUCAACAGGAAUAUGUGGCAAAGAUUUAGAUAUCACUAAUGUGGCAUAUGGAAAAUCUUAAGAACAUUAAAAUAGAGGAAUGAAGAAGUAACUCAUUUCCAGCUCAAGUCCUUUCUUGUGUGUUACAUUCCUUUAAUUAAGCACAUCUUUACUUAUAAUCACUAGAGUAUCAGAUCACAUUGGAAGGUUUUAACUGUAGUACCAAUUCUAUUUCCUUUGAACACUAAAGAGAUAAUCAGGGUUGUCUCACAAAUCAUAGAAUUAUUCUCCUUGGUUCAGAUUUCAGAAAACCUAAUCUUUUGACAUGCUCUAAAUGCUAAUGGAGAUACUUAAAUACUUGCUUCUCUCUCCAAAUCUGGGAAAAACUAGAAAACAAUGCCUCCUCUUAGUGGUCAUAAAACCAUGCUGACUCCAAAUGUCAGAAAGAGAUGAACGAUUCUGAGCACAAGUUCCUCAUGUUUCUUUGGAAAAAAAUAAAACAAAAGCCCCAAAGAUUAUAGAUAUGUCUCAAAACAGAUGCUAUCCAACUCUUUAAAAUAUGGGAGCUUCAUGUAAGAAGCCUCUAAGGGAAUGUAUAGUCUGACCCAUCCAAACUAUUAUAUCUGAUUAGUGUUCUAAGAAUAUGGUUAGGCUGAACAAGCAAAUGAAUAACAGCCUCCAUAUAAUUUUACUUUAAACCUCAAUAUUCCCAUAAAUUAGAAUUUCAUCCAGAGAUUUUUAGGCUAAAUGAGAAUAUUUCCUCUCUAAUGUAAUGAGAAAGAAAAGUUUGUUAAAGAGGAAGCAACAAGAUCCAUCAUAGCUGAGGAUGUUUUAUUUUCUCUAAGAGCUGGCACAGUAACUGUUUGGCCAUCAGAGGUAAAGUAUAUAAGGUCUUAUCUACUCAAUAAAAUCAUAAAAAAUAUAUUGGAAUCAACCAGUCACUUUCUAAACAAAGAUUGAAUAUAAGCCUUUAUGAAAAUUAAAUGGGACCUUGGAGGCAUAGAGAAGACCCUUAAACUGGCCCCUCAUCAGUACCUUGUCAUCACCCAAAUCCUCUCGAGGUAGAAGUUUAUUCCUUCAAGCCUUAGAGCAAAGCCAAAAUGCAAAGAUCCUUGGGAGGACAAUACUCUGUAAGUUAUUAGCCAACAUUUCUAUUUCAGGAAAAGGAUAGGAUUUCAAAGUGGGUUUUGGAGGAGGUGUAAAGAGAACAUGUACAGACUAGAUAUCUGAGACUGGCAGAGAAGGGUCUAGCUUCACUCUUUUGCCCAUGGCUGUUCGGUCUUGUCAGAGAUAGAGGUUUCUGGUAGAUUCUGGCAUCAUCAAGGGGUGCUAAACUUCAUCGGAUAAAGGCAUUUUAAAGCAACUGGCAAACCAAUACUAUAAGAAUAGAGAAACCAAUUAUUUGGGAGAGGAUACUUUACUAAUAGUGUCAAAAGAUACUUUAAUGAAAAUCUGAUGGACAAGGGAUGGCUCAGAGGUUAUUUUUGUACCUUUCCUAGCACAAGGCCAUUACCCCUGAUUCUAAUCUAAGAUUUAGCAAAAAGUAUGGUGAACACUGUGGCUUUCAAAGGUUGUGAUACAUUAAUUCCAGGUAAUACUUUUAAGAAAAGAAAAGAAGUGGUAUCCUGAAAUAGAAAAAGAAGGUUGAAAAUUUCUUCUGUAGGAAAGGAAGAUUCAAAUAUAAAAAGUUAAGGACCCACAAUUAGACAUCAGAAAUUUAUUCUAUUCAAAAAGAGAAACAAAUUGUAUUCCUUCUGUAUGCUAACUAAUAAAACAUUUUUAUGUAACUUACAUUAAAAUCUGUAGAGUGGCUCUACAUGACUUAAGUUGUAUAUGUGAUUUACGUCUCUUAGAAGAGAUAUUUUAUUUAAUGAAUGAGUCAAUUGUUAAUAAAUAAUAUUUGAUGAUGACAAAUAUAAAAUUAGCUGGCCUUGGAGCAUAAUUUAGAAGUUCUGAAACUGGGAUUUUUAUCAAGAUGGAAACUACUUUAUGCCAAAUAAACAUAAGGCCCCAGCAAAAAGUAACUGGUAAGGUCUUAUGUGUGGCUGUGGCUGCCUACUAGUGAUUUAUCUAGGGGUCCGGCUAUGGAUUCUGCUUAUUCAAGUUAUAAUUAAUAUAUAUAUAUAUGUAUAUAUAGUUAUGAUAUAUAAUUAACAAACAAUUAUGAAGUGACUAGAGUUGAAAUUAAAAAACGAAUAAUUUGCAAAUAAUCCUAAGAGGUGAAUCGGGAAUUAUAAAGCAAAGAUACUCAUUUUGGCUGAAGGAAAAUGAAAAUGAAAUCCUCCUCUUUUAAACAAAGAGUAACAUGCAUACCAUGUCAUUAUUUGAGUUGACCGAAUUGCUAUUCUAAGUGUUCCUGAGAACAUUGGCACUAAAACAGAAGUAGGGAAUGAGAAAUCUGCUAUUUUCAGUCCCACAAAGGACAGAAAUCCUUUUAAUUAUGACCAUGCCAAUCUACAUCUUGCUAAAACAGCUAAUUACAUGUCAAAAGGACACCCAGUUAUUCAUAACAAUUAUCGUAUUUUUAUGUAUUCCUUCUACCCAACCAAUUACCAUGGUUACAGUUUGAAAAGACUUGGUCAAACUUUCUUCUGAUCACACAUCAAUAUGAACUGAAGAAUAAAUUAGGGCAUCAUCCAUCCGCUAUUAUUUUGAAAAGGGCAAGAAAAUGAAAAUUUUAAAAAAGGAGAGUGUACUCCAAGAUGUAAGAACAAUCUUGGUGGCAUACAUGUACACACACAUCCACGCACACACGUGUACACACAUACAAUCAAAAUAAUUUUACACUUCUGGCCAGCACUCUUCCAUCCAUUUUUAUCAUCUAAUUGGCACCAUGAUCACCAGAAAAUAGAUAGGAGGUCACUGCAUCAGCCUCCAGUUACCUUUCAAGUUGUUUUAAAUAAAUCAAAGAUCUUGUCAUAAAAAGGAGAUGGGAAAAAUACAGGGUUUCCCCUCUACAAAUGUUUCUCAAAUUUUAUUAGAGAAAGAAGGAAGCUUAAGAGAAUAAAUUAUAUUUAAUUUAGCUUCUUAGUUGACCACAGUUAUAUGGAGUGGCACUUAGAACAGAAGAGAAAAGAUGCAUAGGGCUGCAAACACAUAUCUUUGUCCCAUUUCUAUUAUGCCUACUGAAUAUUUGGAUAAGAAAAAUUAAAAGCAUAAAACACUUGCAUACAUGUAUAGUCUCCCUUGAAACUUUACUAUAUUUGUAGGAUAAAGGAGAAAAAACAAGCCAGAUCACAAGAAGCUGAUUUCUUAGAUCGUGAGCCUUCACACUUCAUUCUCUUCAUUGCUCAAAAAAAAAAAAAAGAAUCAAGAGGUUAAUACAUUGAAAGUGUACUUGUUGAUUUUAUUCCACAAUCUCAAUAAGGCCUCUCUAAUGCUCUAGUUAUAAACUGUAUUUAAAAAAAAAACAAAAAAAAAAAAAAACAACAACCUAAGGAAAUCCUUCUUCUUAAAUGUUAGUCAUCCCUUAUUGAGCUAAAGGAUGAGUAAUGACUGUUGUAUGUUUAUGAAACAUAAGACAUUAUAAUAAAAAAGGAAGGACUCGUGGCUGAACAAGGAUGCUCCCCACCUGAAAGCAACUGUCAAAUUGAGGGAUUAUUGCCAUUCAUAGAUGCCUCCUCUGGAAGACCUUCCAUUCUCAUUAGUGCACAAUACCUUUAAGUGGGAUAAAUCAGGCAUUACUAGAUACUGUAAAUCAAACGAUAGAAAAACUGAGAAAGGGGUUUCGGAUCGUGCAGCUCAGUUUGCCAAAUUCUCUUUGGCGGACAACUGAUCCCCAAAUCCUGAGUAAACAACCUUGCAAUUAAGGAGCAUAAAAAGGAAUGCUUUCCAUGUGCAAUUCCCAGCCAGGCCCCUGCUUUAAAUGCCAUAAACUACACAGUAGGAGCUGGUCAAUGCAUCAAACUUCUGGGAAAACCUGACAAACAAAUCCGGCUCAGUAAAGCUAUAUAUGGAUUUGGCUGGUCUUACUUCAGCCCCAUUGAAGAUAGUAGUCAAAUAUUAACAAUUACAAACAAAAAUAAUCCCAAAUGACACAAAACCCACCAUGCUCUGACACGGUAUCUGGUUCACAUGCAGAGCCCAAGACAUACAACCAACGACAACAUACAAGAUCAGGACCUGCCAAGGACAACUUUGCCACGGAAAGCAGAACCAACAAGUAAAAAUUAUUGCCUAAGAGUUUGUUGAGACUUGUUGCGAAAGGGAAAGACAAGAGACAGAGAGACACAUCUAGAGGAGUGAAAAGAAAGCUAAAUGUGUCCUCUGAAAAAAACAGGAAAGCAGUUUAAG
rnacentral:lncRNA from 1 species